rnacentral:tRNA from 1 species
AGGAGGUCGUAUAGUGGAAGUACAGGGAGUUUUGAUCUCUCAGGUGCAGGUUCAAUUCCUGUUCUUCUAA